AGUGAACGCUGGCGGUAGGCCUAACACAUGCAAGUCGAACGGCAGCACAGUAAGAGCUUGCUCUUACGGGUGGCGAGUGGCGGACGGGUGAGGAAUACAUCGGAAUCUACUUUUUCGUGGGGGAUAACGUAGGGAAACUUACGCUAAUACCGCAUACGACCUACGGGUGAAAGCAGGGGAUCUUCGGACCUUGCGCGAUUGAAUGAGCCGGUGGCGGAUUAGCUAGUUGGCGGGGUAAAGGCCCACCAAGGCGACGAUCCGUAGCUGGCCUGAGAGGAUGACCGGACACAGUGGGAAUGAGAGACGGACCAGAGGCCGACGGGAGGCAGCAGGGGGGAAUAUUGCACAAGGGGCGGAAGCCUGAUGCAGCAACGCCGCGUGCGGGAUGAAGGCCUGCGGGUUGUAAACAGCUUUCGCCUGUCACGAAGCGUGAGUGACGGUAAUGGGUAAAGAAGCACCGGCUAACUACGUG
rnacentral:rRNA from 1 species